GAAGGCAGCUGUCAACCUCGCAGGAAGCCCACUAUUAAAAGGAAACAAAAGUGUCAUUAGGAGUCCUGCUGUCACUGUGGAUUGAAUCAGCAUGCUGAGCCCUGAGGGCAGACCGGGAGGGAGACCUCUUCCACAGGACUGAGAAAGCAGUUGGAGACCUUGACUGGGCGAGGGCCCCUGAGG
rnacentral:lncRNA from 1 species